rnacentral:tRNA from 1 species
GCGCCGGUGGUGUAAGGCGAACAUCGCUCCCCGAAAGCGGAAGAUGCGGGUUCGAGUCCCGCCUCGCGCA